CAGUAGCCACGGUAAUACGUAGGUGGCAAGCGUUGUCCGGAAUUAUUGGGCGUAAAGGGCUCGCAGGCGGUUUCUUAAGUCUGAUGUGAAAGCCCCCGGCUCAACCGGGGGGGGUCAUUGGAAACUGGGAAACCUGAGUGCAGAAGAGGAGAGUGGAAUUCCACGUGUAGCGGUGAAAUGCGUAGAGAUGUGGAGGAACACCAGUGGCGAAGGCGACUCUCUGGUCUGUAACUGACGCUGAGGAGCGAAAGCGUGGGGAGCGAACAGGAUUAGAUACCCCGGUAGUCCCUGUCUCUUAUAC
rnacentral:rRNA from 1 species